rnacentral:rRNA from 1 species
AUGGACGAGGUGGAGUCGUCGUCGCCACACUCGCCGCCGUCGCUGCGCCAUAAGCUGAGGACCACCGUGUGCGGCUGCUUCGGCUCGCCUUCGUCGCCGGGUAGCGGCGGGGAGGAGCCAAAAAGCGGGGGCAGGGCCAGGUGGAGGGGGCGCGUGGCGGCCGCGGGGGAGUUCAGAUACGACCCGCUCAGCUACGCGCUCAACUACGACGACGGCGGCAGCGACGGCGGCGCCGAAGCGGAGGACUCCGCCUUCCGGCACAGAAACUUCAACUCCCGUCUGCCUUCAUCGCCGGUGCCGGCCUCCCGAGCCGUCGCCAUCGCCUGA